rnacentral:rRNA from 1 species
AUUGAACGCUGGCGGCAUGCUUUACACACGCAAGUCGAACGGUAACAGGGUGCUUGCACCGCUGACGAGUGGCGAACGGGUGAGUAAUGCGUCGGAACGUGCCGAGUAGUGGGGGAUAACGCAGCGAAAGUUGUGCUAAUACCGCAUACGUACUGAGGUAGAAAGUGGGGGACCUUCGGGCCUCACGCUAUUCGAGCGGCCGACGUCUGAUUAGCUAGUAGGUGAGGUAAAGGCUCACCUAGGCGACGAUCAGUAGCGGGUCUGAGAGGAUGAUCCGCCACACGGGGACUGGGACACGGCCCAGACUCCUACGGGAGGCAGCAGUGGGGAAUUUUGGACAAUGGGCGAAAGCCUGAUCCAGCCAUGCCGCGUGUCUGAAGAAGGCCUUCGGGUUGUAAAGGACUUUUGUCAGGGAGGAAAUCCCUAGUGCUAAUAACACUGGGGGAUGACAGUACCUGAAGAAUAAGCACCGGCUAACUACGUGCCAGCCGCCGCCGUAA